rnacentral:rRNA from 1 species
UGGGGAAUAUUGCACAAUGGGCGAAAGCCUGAUGCAGCAACGCCGCGUGAGUGAUGAAGGUCUUCGGAUUGUAAAGCUCUGUCUUUUGGGACGAUAAUGACGGUACCAAAGGAGGAAGCCACGGCUAACUACGUGCCAGCAGCCGCGGUAAUACGUAGGUGGCGAGCGUUGUCCGGAUUUACUGGGCGUAAAGGGUGCGUAGGCGGAUGUUCAAGCGAGAUGUGAAAUACCCGGGCUUAACUUGGGUGCUGCAUUUCAAACUGGAUAUCUAGAGUGCAGGAGAGGAGAAUGGAAUUCCUAGUGUAGCGGUGAAAUGCGUAGAGAUUAGGAAGAACACCAGUGGCGAAGGCGAUUCUCUGGACUGUAACUGACGCUGAGGCACGAAAGCGUGGGUAGCAAACAGGAUUAGAUACCCUGGUAGUCCACGCCGUAAACGAUGAGUACUAGGUGUAGGAGGUAUCGACCCCUUCUGUGCCGCAGUAAACACAUUAAGUACUCCGCCUGGGAAGUACGAUCGCAAGAUUAAAACUCUAAAGUGAAUUGACGGGGUC